AAAGUUUAAUUUUUAAUUAAAUCUGAAAUACCAAUUAUAACUGAAAGAGAUUUUAACCUGUUUCUUUUCAGACUGCCUGAAGUUACAUUGUAGAUGCUGAAAUCACUGCACCUUAAAAACAAAAAGAUUAAGCCACACUGCAUUCCUCAGUGGUUGGCAGUUUUCCUCAACUUUGCGAGAGAGAGAGAGAUUUUGUUGGAAUGAAACCUUGCUCUGCGUACAGCCUGCUUGAGAUGCAGCACUGAAAGAUCACUCACAAUCAGUUUGCGGCUUUUCUCUGGAGAAACCUUUCCUUGCAUCUUUUGUAAGUAUUUAUAACAUUUUAUACUUUUCAUUGAUAUAAGUUGUGCCUUUUCUUCAAGUUCCAU
rnacentral:lncRNA from 12 species